ACCACACUGAGUAACUGGGGUAGACACAGAGGGGGGCAUCUGGGGCUCUCCCGAGGCCAAGGUUGGGACCCAGAAGGGAUGAAUUUCCCUGGGUGCACAGGGUGGGAGGGAGGUGGGGCUGGAAGAACUUGCUCUGGAGGGAUGAUCCCGAUGGCUCCCAGCGAAGAAGGCCAGGAAGAGCAGAGGAUGGUGCCAGGAGGAUGAUGUCGGGGGACACAGGCAGCUCAGGCCUGGAUCAGGCAGUGACUGGUGUGUGUGUGUGUGUUAUGAAGAGAGAGGGAUGGAAAUCGUGACCAGAGAGUUGGAGUUGGGACCCCUGUCUUGAUCACUUGAGCAUCAGCAGCUCCAGGGAAGAACACAUUCUGAAGGAGGAACUCUCCAGCUAGGAUUUCAUCCUGUCCUAGAGGAUACCAAGAGGUGGAGACCACCCCCACAACUAAACUUGAGGAUUACUAAGGCAAUGGGGACUGCCUAGGAAUAUUUUUGAGGGGGUAAAGGCACCCCAUAAUUGUGCUAAGUAACAAAAGACAGAACAAGCAGCCUUAACACAUUCUGCAUGAUACACUGGUAUUAGAAUAAUAAGAUCUUAAAGACCAUCCACUUGAAAACUGGAUUUGCUCCGGGUCAUAUGGGCAGAACCAUGGCAGACAAAGAACUAGAAGUUCCUCCUAACUCCCAACUCAAUGUCCUUUCCUUAAAGAAUAACUGUUCUUUAUUAUAAAUAGGCCAAGCUUUUAUUAUUUAGUAUAGAACUCAGGCUGAUAUUUUUAUUGAUGGAUUAAAAUUUGAAUUAUUUCUGUAGCAUACUAUUUAAAAGUUUUCUUCUACAUAUUUGCUAUCAUUUUCUAGCAAAUAUCCUCAAAAUUGAAAACUGCAACGUCAAUGAAAUCAGUGAGCACACUACCAUCCUUCUAAUGGGAGGUCUAAUUUAUCAUUCAUGCAUAGUAAAAAAAAAAAGCAUAAUAUUUAAAUGUGUACUCUGUGAUUGUUUAUAAAACUAUUUAAGUAUAAAUAUUCCAAACAAAGCACUUAGCUUAUAAAUGAACUUAAAUCCUCAAAGUUAGGAUUUAAGUCACUCGUUUGGAAUUCGUUACAUAUUUUUCCUUUGUAAUAGUUGGUGACCAUAUUCUUAAGGCAGCCCACAAAAGUCUAGUAAAUUCCCUACUGUGGCUCCAGUGUUUACAUUUGUAAUGGAAACGUGUUGAAAAUGAAUACUAAUGUAGUGCUAGUCAUGGAAAGUAUCUAAAACACAAGGUAAAAGGAUUGGACACAUGAGUUUUCAAGUCGCUAAGAAGGGAGAAGGUAAUGGGUUAAUAUUAGGUCAUAGAGUUCUAUGUCUGGAUGCUAGGUGGCACUAUUGAACCAGAACAGCUCGGUUAUUUGCCAAGUCAAGGGUUUAUAGAGGGAUGCUCAUAUGACUGUUCCUAUUACACAUAUUCACAUGUUCCUUGUC